AUGAAUCCGGCAUCGGCCCCCGGGCCAGAUGGCUUGCCGGUUCGCUUCUUUCAGGCGUUCUGGUCCAUCAUCAAAGAUGAUGUUUUAGCCCUGUUCCUCGAGUUCUCUAGAGGAACCCUUGAUGUGGCUCGCCUGAAUUAUGGGAUUAUUUCCCUGAUACCGAAAGUCCACGGGGCUACGGAUAUUAGGCAAUUUCGACCGAUCACGGUCCUUAAUGUUAUCUUUCGGAUUUUGGCGAAGGGUUAUGCCACUAGGGCAGCCCUUCUUGCACCAAGGAUCCAUCACCCCAACCAAUCGGCCUUCACCAAAGGCCGGUUUAUUUUGGAUGGGAUCCUUGUCCUUCAUGAAAUCCUGCAUGAAGUAAGGCAAAAACGACUUUGUGUGGUCUUUUUCAAGAUCGAUUUUCACAAGGCGUAUGACUCGGUCCAUUGGUCCUUCCUUCGGGAGGUGAUGCUCAAACGCGGAUUCGACCCUCAUUGGAUUACUCGUGUGAUGCAAUUAGUUACCAGUGAACGCACGGCGAUUAAUAUUAACGGAGAGGUGGGGCCUUACUUCCCCACAGGACAGGGGGUCCGUCAGGGUGAUCCCCUCUCUCCCUUCCUUUUUAACUUGGUGGUCGAUGCCCUAGCCACUAUCCUGGAUUUGGCCAGGCGGGCUGGCCACAUUAGAGGCAUUUGCCCCCAUCUAACUGGGGAUGGGGGUCUUACCAACCUUCAAUAUGCAGACGAUACGAUUCUUAUGGUGGAGGGUUCGGAUGAGGAGACGAAACCCCUUAAGGGUCCUUUUAAAUUCGUACCACACACACUUUGGAGUAUUAUUUAUUUUGUUUGGAAUUCUUAA
rnacentral:rRNA from 1 species